rnacentral:misc_RNA from 1 species
GAUGAAGAACGUAGCGAAAUGCGAUAAGAAAUGUGAAUUGCAGAAUUCAGUGAAUCAUCGAAUCUUUGAACGCACAUUGCGCCCGCUGGUAUUCCGGCGGGCAUGCCUGUUCGAGCGUCAUUUCAACCCUCAAGCUCUCCGGAGUUUGGUGUUGGGGCGCCUGGGGCUUUUCGACCUCAGGGCCCUCAAGUCCAUCGGCGGGACCGCCAGGACACUGAGCGCAGUAGUAUUAUUUCGCUCGGUAGGAUCUUCCACGGCGGGUCGAUCUGGCCGCUAAACCCCCCAAUUCUCACCAAAGGUUGACCUCGGAUCAGGUAGGAAUACCCGCUGAACUUAAGCAUAUCAAUAAGCGGAGGA